UGGGUUGUAGCUCAGUGUAGAGCACUUGCCUGGUAUGCAUAAGGCAUUGGUUUGAUCCCCAACACAG
rnacentral:tRNA from 1 species